GUCCAAAGUAAUAAGAGCAUACGGGGAAUGCCUAGGUAGCAGAAGGCGAAGAAGGACGUGGUAAGCUGCGAAAAGCUACGGGGAGAAGCAAACAAUCGAAGAUCCGUAGAUGUCCGAAUGGGGCAACCCGAAAGAGCUGGAAACAGAGGUGAACCCUGGGAAGUGAAACAUCUCAGUACCAGGAGGAAAAGAAAUCAAACGAGAUUCCUUUAGUAGUGGCGAGCGAAAAAGGAAGAGCCCAAAAGAUAUUAGUGUAAAAGGAUAUGGCCGUUGCUAAUAUCUGGUAGAGGGAUAGAAA
rnacentral:rRNA from 1 species